rnacentral:rRNA from 1 species
UACUCGAGUGGCGAACGGGUGAGUAACACGUGGGUGAUCUGCCCUGCACUUCGGGAUAAGCUUGGGAAACUGGGUCUAAUACCGGAUAGGAGCCAUCUUUAGUGUGGUGGUUGGAAAGUUUUUUCGGUGUAGGAUGAGCUCGCGGCCUACCAGCUUGUUGGUGGGGUAAUGGCCUACCAAGGCGGCGACGGGUAGCCGGCCUGAGAGGGUGUACGGCCACAUUGGGACUGAGAUACGGCCCAG